GUUUCCCACAAACACCAAACAGGCAAACUUCUACUGCACAUCUCCUUCUUUCCCUUGUUGUUUUGCAUGAAUGUGACAUUUGCAUCUGGUUUGCGUUUUCGGAGUAUUUCAUGGGGUACUGAGGGCGAGGAUUAAUUAUCACCACAUAGCAAUCAUCAUCAGGAAAGGCCUCAUUUACCUUGGAGUUUCGAUCCCUGCCUCCACAAAACCAAAAGCUGCAAUAUUUUAUCGUUGGCAGUUCUUGUCUCCCCUGCUUCACCUUUCUCCUGCGAGGCAGAGAGAAGAUGGCUGGAAGGGAUCAGCUCCUGAAAUACGACUGAGACCACAGGUUUAAAGGACUUCCACUGUCUCCAGCCCUUAUCAGCUUAGUUAGGUAUUGAGCAACUGUGAACCUCAAAUCUACAAGCAAUGCCAAGCUGCGAGGAGUGCUUCAAAAGCCAGAUCA